rnacentral:rRNA from 1 species
GUGUCAGCCGCCGCGGUAAUACAGAGGCCUCGAGCGUUAGGCGGAAUCACUGGGCUUAAAGCGUGUGUAGGCGGACUUCUAAGUACCUUGUGAAAUCCCACGGCUCAACCGUGGAACUGCUUGGUAUACUGGUUGUCUUGAGCCAUCUAGGGGCUACCGGAACAAGUGGUGGAGCGGUGAAAUGCGUAGAUAUCACUUGGAACGCCAACGGUGAAAACAGGUAGCUGGGGAUGUGCUGACGCUGAGACACGAAAGCCAGGGGAGCGAACGGGAUUAGAAACCCGCGUAGUCC